AUUGAACGCUGGCGGCAGGCCUAACACAUGCAAGUCGAACGGUAACAGGAAACAGCUUGCUGUUUCGCUGACGAGUGGCGGACGGGUGAGUAAUGUCUGGGAAACUGCCUGAUGGAGAGGGAUAACUACUGGAAACGGUAGCUAAUACCGCAUAACGUCGCAAGACCAAAGAGGGGGACCUUCGGGCCUCUUGCCAUCGGAUGUGCCCAGAUGGGAUUAGCUUGUUGGUGGGGUAACAGCUCACCAAGGCGACGAUCCCUAGCUGGUCUGAGAGGAUGACCAGCCACACUGGAACUGAGACACGGUCCAGACUCCUACGGGAGGCAGCAGUGGGGAAUAUUGCACAAUGGGCGCAAGCCUGAUGCAGCCAUGCCGCGUGUAUGAAGAAGGCCUUCGGGUUGUAAAGUACUUUCAGCGGGGAGGAAGGGAGUAAAGUUAAUACCUUUACUCAUUGACGUUACCCGCAGAAGAAGCACCGGCUAACUCCGUGCCAGCCGCCGCCGUAA
rnacentral:rRNA from 1 species